UACUAAUACCGGAUAGGACCAUCGUAUAGUGUACGGUGGUGGAAAGUUUUUUCGGUGUGGGAUGAGCUCGCGGCCUAUCAGCUUGUAGGUGGGGUAAUGGCCUACCAAGGCGUCGACGGGUAGCCGGCCUGAGAGGGUGUACGGCCACAUUGGGACUGAGAUACGGCCCAGACUACCUACGGGAGGCAGCAGUGGGGAAUAUUGCACAAUGGGCGCAAGCCUGAUGCAGCGACGCCGCGUGAUUUAGAAGGCCUUCGGGUUGUAAGAAUCUUUUGUAUAGGAAGAAAAUGACAGUACUAUACGAAUAAGGUCCGGCUAAUUACGUGCCAGCAGCCGCGGUAAUACGUAAGGACCGAGCGUUGUCCGGAAUCAUUGGGCGUAAAGGGUACGUAGGCGGCCAGAAAAGUUAGAAGUCAAAGGCUAUAGCUCAACUAUAGUAAGCUUUUAAAACUGUCUGGCUUGAGAGAUGGAAGGGAAAGUGGAAUUCCUAGUGUAGCGGUGGAAUGCGCAGAUAUUAGGAGGAAUACCGGUGGCGAAGGCGACUUUCUGGCCAUUUUC
rnacentral:rRNA from 2 species